rnacentral:rRNA from 1 species
GAACGCUGGCGGCAUGCUUUACACAUGCAAGUCCGGACGGCAGCACAGAGAAGCUUGCUUCUUGGGUGGCGAGUGGCGAACGGGUGAGUAAUAUAUCGGAACGUACCGAGUAAUGGGGGAUAACUAAUCGAAAGAUUAGCUAAUACCGCAUAUUCUCUGAGGAGGAAAGCAGGGGACCUUCGGGCCUUGCGUUAUUCGAGCGGCCGAUAUCUGAUUAGCUAGUUGGUGGGGUAAAGGCCUACCAAGGCGACGAUCAGUAGCGGGUCUGAGAGGAUGAUCCGCCACACUGGGACUGAGACACGGCCCAGACUCCUACGGGAGGCAGCAGUGGGGAAUUUUGGACAAUGGGCGCAGGCCUGAUCCAGCCAUGCCGCGUGUCUGAAGAAGGCCUUCGGGUUGUAAAGGACUUUUGUCAGGGAAGAAAAGGCUGUUGCUAAUAUCGACAGCUGAUGACGGUACCUGAAGAAUAAGCACCGGCUAACUACGUGCCAGCAGCCGCGGUAAUACGUAGGGUGCGAGCGUUAAUCGGAAUUACUGGGCGUAAAGCGAGCGCAGACGGUUACUUAAGCAGGAUGUGAAAUCCCCGGGCUCAACCUGGGAACUGCGUUCUGAACUGGGUGACUAGAGUGUGUCAGAGGGAGGUAGAAUUCCACGUGUAGCAGUGAAAUGCGUAGAGAUGUGGAGGAAUACCGAUGGCGAAGGCAGCCUCCUGGGAUAACACUGACGUUCAUGCUCGAAAGCGUGGGUAGCAAACAGGAUUAGAUACCCUGGUAGUCCACGCCCUAAACGAUGUCAAUUAGCUGUUGGGCAACUUGAUUGCUUAGUAGCGUAGCUAACGCGUGAAAUUGACCGCCUGGGGAGUACGGUCGCAAGAUUA